UGGACUCCAGCAUCUGGUUGCGACAACCAGAAAGAAGGAAAGGGGAAAAGGGGGGAGAAAGCAACCGUGAGUACUCAUCCAAAGUACUCGCAAGCAAGGAACUAUACUACAUAUGCAUGGGUAUAUGUGUAAGGAGGCCAUAUCAGUGGACUGAACUGCAGAAUGCCAGAAUAAGAGGGGGAUAACUAAUCAUGUCGAAGACUACGCUUCUGGCAGCCUCCGUCUUGCAGCAUAUAGAAGAGAGUAGAUUGUAGUCCUCCAAGUAGCAUCCUCAAGUAGCAUCUCCAAGUAGCAUCUCCAGUCGCAUCACAUAGCAUAAUCCUACCCGGCGAUCCUCUCCUCGUCGCCCUGUAGAAGAGCGAUCACCGGGUUGUCUGUGGAACUUGGAAGGGUGUGUUUUAUUAAGUAUCCGGUUCUAGUUGUCAUAAGGUCAAGGUACAACUCCAAGUCGUCCUGUUACCGAAGAUCACGGCUAUUCGAAUAGAUUAACUUCCCUGCAGGGGUGCACCACAUAACCCAACACGCUCGAUCCCAUUUGGCCGGACACACUUUCCUGGGUCAUGCCCGGCCUCGGAAGAUCAACACGUCGCAGCCCCACCUAGGCAAAACAGAGAGGCCAGCACGCCGGUCUAAACCUAAGCGCACAGGGGUCUGGGCCCAUCGCCCAUAGCACACCUGCACGUUGCGUACGCGGCCGAAAGCAGACCUAGCCUAGUGGCGUUCCAGUCCAAUUCGGCGCGCGCCGCUCCGUCGCUGACGUCUGAAGUGCUUCGGCUGAUACCACGACGUCGGGAUACCCAUAACUACUCCCGCGUAGAUGGUUAGUGCGUAUAGGCCAGUAGCCAGACUCAGAUCAAAUACCAAGAUCUCGUUAAGCGUGUUAAGUAUCCGUGAACGCCGAACAGGGCCAGGCCCACCUGUCUCCUAGGUGGUCUCAACCUGCCCUGCCGCUCCGCCACAAAGUAACAGUCGGGGGCCGUCGGGAACCCAGGCCCACCUCUACCGGGAUGGAGCCACCUGUCCUUUCAGCCCCCUCGUCAGAAUCACUUGCGGGUACUCAAUGAGCUGACCCGACUUUAGUCACCAUCUGUAUAGUAUGUAUGUAUGUAUAGUAUAUACCCAUGAUCACCUCCCAAGUGAUCACGGCCCGAUAGUAUAGCAAGGCAGACUGACAAGAAUGUAGGGCCAAUGAUGAUAAACUAGCAUCCUAUACUAAGCAUUUAGGAUUGCAGGUAAGGUAUCAACAGAUGUAGCGACAAUGUCAGGCUAUGCAUCAGAAUAGGAUUAACGAAAGCAGUAACAUGCUACACUACUCUAAUGCAAGCAGUAUAGAGGAGAAUAGGCGAUAUCUGGUGAUCAGGGGGGGGGCUUGCCUGGUUGCUCUGGCAAGAGAGAGGGGUCGUCAACUCCGUAGUCGAACUGGUCAGCAGCAGCGUCGGUCUCGUAGUCUACCGGAGAGAAGAGGGGGAAGAAAUAAUGAAUACAGAGCAAACAAAGCAUCACAAAAUAUAACAAGGCAAUACGCGGGGUUUGGUGUGCCCUAACGCGGUAGUAGGUGAUACCGGUGAAGGGGGGAAAACAUCCGGGAAAGUAUUCCCGGGGUUCCGUGUUUUCGGGCAGAGGAGCCGGAGGGGGAAAGUUGCGAGUUCGAUAGGUUAGGGGGGUGUGGCGGACAAACGGACCGCGUAUCCGGAUUCGUCUCGUCGUUCCGAGCAACUUUCAUGUAGAAAGUAUUUUAAUCCGAGUUACGGAUUAUUAUGUAUAAUUUUUUAAAGUUUUAAUAAUAUACUAGAUUUUCUAAAUUACUUUUAAUUCAAGUUGACCAAGUCAAUUUGACUAGUCAAAAAGAGAGCUGUGACCCACAUGUCAUGGACUAGUUACCUAAAAUAAAUAAAUAAACCUAACUUAUUUAAUUGGGACCUACAUGUCAUCUACUAUUAGACUAAUUAACUUAGCACUAAUUAAUACUACUAGCUAAAGCUAGUACUAACAAGGGCCGGCCACAGCCCAACCGGCCACACGCACGGCACACACACAGCACGCAACACACGGUGCUAGAGGUUGAAAGUGUGUUCUGUCAAUAAAAGAUAGCAUUUUGUGAUUUUCAUAGUAUUUAAUUUAUGCCUUAUUUGAAUUUGGUCCAAUGGGGUAACUUGGAGCUUGUCAAGUGUACUACCUANNNNNNNNNNNNNNNNNNNNNNNNNNNNNNNNNNNNNNNNNNNNNNNNNNNNNNNNNNNNNNNNNNNNNNNNNNNNNNNNNNNNNNNNNNNNNNNNNNNNNNNNNNNNNNNNNNNGGGGGGCGACGAGAGCGGGGCUGCAUGGCAGGUGUGGAGGCGGCCUGCAGUGGUGCCGGCGUCGAGAGGAGCGGCGCCGGGGUUCGGCCUAGCAGCGUACGGCGGGCGGGAGGCGAGCAGGCGCAGGGAAGGGCGCGGACGGCGAGCGCGGGUGUGAUAGCGCAGCACGGACAAGCAGCGGCCCUAGCGGACGUGGCCGGAGCUUCAGCCGUGUCGGCGGCCGGUGACGAGCGCGGCGGUAGCAAGUGCAACGGCGACAACGAGCUACGGUGGCGAUGGUAGUAGCAGCAGGAAACAACGAACCAAGCCUACAGGAGAGGGGUUUCGACCGGGAGCUCACCGCGGAGGCACACGGAGGCCCGUUGGUGGCUUAGGAGCUGCAGAGGCGAUGGAUCGAUGAAGGGCAGCGACGACGACCGAGGAAGAAGAUGGCGUCGAUCCGGUCGAUGAUUUGGCCUCCCGGCCUCGAUCCGGCGGCGUAGUCGACGCUGCGGACAGCGAAGGCGCUGCUGGAAAGGUCCCAGCCUACGGGGCCGACAGAGAGCAUGCAGAUGAUGAGAACCAUGGCGCCGAUGGCUCGGUAGUGCGCGAGGAAGGAGGCAGCGAGCGGGAGGAAAAGUGGCGAGGCUAGGGUUCUCCAG
rnacentral:lncRNA from 1 species